AUUGAACGCUGGCGGCAGGCCUAACACAUGCAAGUCGAGCGAGCGGCGGACGGGUGAGUAAUGUCUGGGAAACUGCCUGAUGGAGGGGGAUAACUACUGGAAACGGUAGCUAAUACCGCAUACCAUCAGAUGUGCCCAGAUGGGAGUAGCUAGUAGGUGGGGUAAUGGCUCACCUAGGCGACGAUCCCGAGCUGGUCUGAGAGGAUGACCAGCCACACUGGAACUGAGACACGGUCCAGACUCCUACGGGAGGCAGCAGUGGGGAAGAUUGCACAAUGGGCGCAAGCCUGAUGCAGCCAUGCCGCGUGUGUGAAGAAGGCCUUCGGGUUGUAAAGCACUUUCAGCUAGGAGGCUUUCCUCGCCUCCGAAGCACCGGCUAACUCCGUGCCAGCAGCCGCGGUAAUUC
rnacentral:rRNA from 1 species